AACGAACGCUGGCGGCAUGCCUAACACAUGCAAGUCGAACGAGACCUUCGGGUCUAUUGGCGCACGGGUGCGUAACGCGUGGGAACCUGCCCUUAGGUUCGGAAUAACUCCCCGAAAGGGGUGCUAAUACCGGCUAAUGUCUUCGGACCAAAGAUUUAUCGCCUUUGGAUGGGCCCGCGUUGGAUUAGCUAGUUGGUAGUGUAAAAGCCUACCAAGGCGACGAUCCAUAGCUGGUCUGAGAGGAUGAUCAGCCACACUGGGACUGAGACACGGCCCAGACUCCUACGGGAGGAAGCAGUUGGGAAUAUUGGACAACGGGUGAAAGCCUGAUCCAGCAAUGCAGCGUGAGUGAUGAAGGCCUUAGGGUUGUAAAGCUCUUUUACCCGGGAUGAUAAUGACAGUACCGGGAGAAUAAGCUCCGGCUAACUACGUG
rnacentral:rRNA from 1 species